rnacentral:tRNA from 1 species
GGUGGCUCAGUGGUAGAGCACUUGCCUUGAACACUUGAGGCCCUGGGUUCGAUUCCUCAGCACCA